UACGUAGGGGGCAAGCGUUGUCCGGAUUUAUUGGGCGUAAAGCGCUCGCAGGUGGUUCGAUGCGUCGUGCGUGAAAGACCCCGGCUCAACUGGGGAGGGUCGUGCGAUACGGUCGAACUGGAGGCCAGUAGGGGGAUGCGGAAUUCCGGGUGUAGUGGUGGAAUGCGUAGAGAUCCGGAGGAACACCAGCGGCGAAGGCGGCAUCCUGGACUGGUCCUGACACUCAUGAGCGAAAGCGUGGGGGGCGAUCCGG
rnacentral:rRNA from 1 species